rnacentral:misc_RNA from 1 species
GUUCAAGUUCUAGGUUAGUCGUUGGAGCUAUGUGUAAUCUGUCAUUUCAACCAACAAAUGCUGCUUUGCUGGUAAGCAAUCAUUCUCAAGUGGAAAGACUAGAUGCAGGUCAAUGUACAUGUCCUGGAACUAUGCCUGCUUUCUAAAUAAUCGCCAUAUCUUCUUAGAGCUUCAAGAUGUAGAUGCUACUUAUAUUGAAGUCUUUGUUUGACCUCACUCUUGUAUAGUGUUGGAUCAGGUGUUUCUUGCUUAUUUUUGCUUUUGUUUCUUAGUCAAUGAAUGCAAAGCAGUGUGAUAUUUCCAUUUUAGUUUAUACAACUUACUGUUUUCCUAAGUGCAUGCACCAAAAGUAAUCAUCGUUAUUUGUGUUAAAUUAAAUGUCAUU